CCUACGGGGGGCUGCAGUGGGGAAUAUUGGACAAUGGGGGGAACCCUGAUCCAGCCAUGCCGCGUGUGUGAAGAAGGCCCUCGGGUUGUAAAGCACUUUCAGUGAGGAAGAACGCCUGGUGGUUAAUACCCAUCAGGAAAGACAUCACUCACAGAAGAAGCACCGGCUAACUCCGUGCCAGCAGCCGCGGUAAUACGGAGGGUGCGAGCGUUAAUCGGAAUUACUGGGCGUAAAGCGCGCGUAGGUGGCUUGAUAAGCCGGUUGUGAAAGCCCCGGGCUCAACCUGGGAACGGCAUCCGGAACUGUCAAGCUAGAGUGCAGGAGAGGAAGGUAGAAUUCCCGGUGUAGCGGUGAAAUGCGUAGAGAUCGGGAGGAAUACCAGUGGCGAAGGCGGCCUUCUGGACUGACACUGACACUGAGGUGCGAAAGCGUGGGUAGCAAACAGGAUUAGAUACCAUUGUAGUC
rnacentral:rRNA from 1 species